rnacentral:rRNA from 1 species
GAUGAACGCUGGCGGCGUGCCUAAUACAUGCAAGUCGAGCGAACGGACGAGAAGCUUGCUUCUCUGAUGUUAGCGCCGGACGGGUGAGUAACACGUGGAUAACCUACCUAUAAGACUGGGAUAACUUCGGGCAACCGGAGCUAAUACCGGCUGAUAUUUUGAACAGCAUGGUUCAAAAGUGAAAGACGGUCUUGCUGUCACUUAUAGAUGGAUCCGCGCUGCAUUAGCUAGUUGGUAAGGUAACGGCUUACCAAGGCAACGAUGCAUAGCCGACCUGAGAGGGUGAUCGGCCACACUGGAACUGAGACACGGUCCAGACUCCUACGGGAGGCAGCAGUAGGGAAUCUUCCGCAAUGGGCGAAAGCCUGACGGAGCAACGCCGCGUGAGUGAUGAAGGUCUUCGGAUCGUAAAACUCUGUUAUUAGGGAAGAACAUAUGUGUAAGUAACUGUGCACAUCUUGACGGUACCUAAUCAGAAAGCCACGGCUAACUACGUG